UACGUAGGGUGCGAGCGUUAAUCGGAAUUACUGGGCGUAAAGCGUGCGCAGGCGGUUCGUUGUGUCUGUGGUGAAAGCCCCGGGCUUAACCUGGGAAUGGCCAUGGAAACUGGCGAGCUGGAGUGUGGCAGAGGGGGGUGGAAUUCCACGUGUAGCAGUGAAAUGCGUAGAGAUGUGGAGGAACACCGAUGGCGAAGGCAGCCUCCUGGGCCAGCACUGACGCUCAUGCACGAAAGCGUGGGGAGCAAACAGG
rnacentral:rRNA from 1 species